CCUUGCAAGGAAAAACAGGUUAAGGAGCAAAACAACCAUCGUGGUGGAAUUACUCAUAUGAGCCAUGCUCGUCAAGACUGGUGCUUCUAUGACUGUGCAUCACUAGUGCAAACUACAGCGUGUGGUAGGUUUGUUUUGGCGUGUGUGAUGAACAUUGGUUAUCCCAGUGAUAUCCAAAGGACUGUUGGAAUGCCUGGAGUUAUUCACAUGUGCAAGUACUGAGGUUUGAUGUUGUGAUGUGUCCACUAUCGUGGCAUAGGAUCUGGAGACAAGUGCCAACAAAUGUGUUUGUUGUCUCUCUUCUGCUGCUGCUCCCGACUGUUUGCACUCUAAAC